rnacentral:rRNA from 1 species
UGAACGCUGGCGGCGUGCUUAACACAUGCAAGUCGAACGAAGCUAAGGGAGCUUGCUCCCAAAGCUUAGUGGCGGACGGGUGAGUAACGCGUGGGUAACCUGCCCUAUAGAGGGGGAUAACGUUCGGAAACGAACGCUAAUACCGCAUAAACCAUAAAGAGCUGCAUGGCUCUGAUGGCAAAGAUUUAUCGCUAUAGGAUGGACCUGCGUUGGAUUAGCUAGUUGGUGAGAUAACAGCUCACCAAGGCGACGAUCCAUAGCCGGCCUGAGAGGGUGAACGGCCACAUUGGGACUGAGACACGGCCCAAACUCCUACGGGAGGCAGCAGUGGGGAAUAUUGCACAAUGGGCGCAAGCCUGAUGCAGCGACGCCGCGUGAAGGAAGAAGGUCUUCGGAUUGUAAACUUCUAUCAGCAGGGAAGAAUAAAUGACGGUACCUGACUAAGAAGCCCCGGCUAACUACGUGCCAGCCGCCGC